rnacentral:tRNA from 1 species
AUUUAAAUAGCUUAUAUUUUAGAGUAUAACAUUGAAGAUGUUAGGGAGGUUAAUUAAAUCUUUAAAUA